GGGGAUUUAGCUCAGUGGUAGAGCGCUUGCCUAGCAAGAAGGCCCUGGGUUCGGUCCCCAGCUCCG
rfam:Rattus norvegicus chromosome 7, whole genome shotgun sequence.